UGGACCUCUUUUAGUGAUGUAUG
rnacentral:siRNA from 1 species